rnacentral:rRNA from 1 species
GCGGCGUGCUUAACACAUGUCAAGUCGAACGGUAACAGAGAGUAGCUUGCUACUCUGCUGACGAGUGGCGCACGGGUGAGUAAUAUAUAGAUAAUGUGCCUUUUAGUCUGGGAUAGCCAUUGGAAACGAUGAUUAAUACUGGAUACUCCUUCUAACUCUAAUGUUAGUCGGGAAAGUUUUUCGCUAAAAGAUCGGUCUAUAUCCCAUCAGUUAGUUGGUAAGGUAACGGCUUACCAAGGCAAUGACGGGUAGCGGGUUUGAGAGGAUGAUCCGCCACACUGGUACUGAGACACGGACCAGACUCCUACGGGAGGCAGCAGUGAGGAAUAUUGCACAAUGGGGGAAACCCUGAUGCAGCAACGCCGCGUGGAGGAUGACGCAUUUCGGUGUGUAAACUCCUUUUAUAUGUCAAGAAAAUGACGGUAGCAUAUGAAUAAGCACCGGCUAACUCCGUGCCAGCAGCCGCGGUAAUACGGAGGGUGCAAGCGUUAUUCGGAAUCACUGGGCGUAAAGGACGCGUAGGCGGGUUGGUAAGUCAGAUGUGAAAUCCUACAGCUUAACUGUAGAACUGCAUUUGAAACUACUUACCUAGAGUAUGGGAGGGGGAGAUGGAAUUAGUGGUGUAGGGGUAAAAUCCGUAGAUAUCACUAGGAAUACCGAAAGCGAAGGCGAUCUCCUGGAACAUAACUGACGCUAAGGCGUGAAAGCGUGGGGAGCAAACAGGAUUAGAUACCCUGGUAGUCCACGCCCUAAACGAUGAACACUAGUCGUCGGGAUGCUAGUCAUCUCGGUGAUGCACUUAACAGAUUAAGUGUUCCGCCUGGGGAGUACGGUCGCAAGAUUAAAACUCAAAGGAAUAGACGGGGACCCGCACAAGUGGUGGAGCAUGUGGUUUAAUUCGAAGAUACGCGAAGAACCUUACCUAGCCUUGACAUUGAUUGAACACUUUAGAGAUAGAGUGGUGCCCUUCGGGGAACAUGAAAACAGGUGCUGCACGGCUGUCGUCAGCUCGUGUCGUGAGAUGUUGGG